UACGUAGGGGGCGAGCGUUGUCCGGAUUCAUUGGGCGUAAAGAGCUCGUAGGCGGUUCGGUAAGUCAGGUGUGAAAACUCCAGGCUCAACUUGGAGACGCCACCUGAUACUGUCGUGACUAGGGUCCGGUAGGGGAGCAUGGAAUUCCUGGUGUAGCGGUGAAAUGCGCAGAUAUCAGGAGGAACACCAGCGGCGAAGGCGGUGCUCUGGGCCGGAACUGACGCUGAGGAGCGAAAGCGUGGGUAGCAAACAGG
rnacentral:rRNA from 1 species